rnacentral:rRNA from 1 species
GGACCAAGGAGUCUAGCAUGUGCGCGAGUCAUUGGGACUCUAACUAAACCUAAAGGCGCAAUGAAAGUGAAGGUCCGCCGUGCGCGGACCGAGGGAGGAUGGACGGUCCCGAGGGACCGCCCCGCACUCCCGGGGCGUCUCGUUCUCAAUUACGAGAAGAGGCGCACCCAGAGCGUACACGCUGGGACCCGAAAGAUGGUGAACUAUGCCUGGUCAGGACGAAGUCAGGGGAAACCCUGAUGGAGGUCCGUAGCGAUUCUGACGUGCAAAUCGAUCGUCGGAACUGGGUAUAGGGGCGAAAGACUAAUCGAACCAUCUAGUAGCUGGUUCCCUCCGAAGUUUCCCUCAGGAUAGCUGGCGCUCGCUUCUCGCGAGUCUCAUUCGGUAAAGCGAAUGAUUAGAGGCAUUGGGGUCGAAACGGCCUCAACCUAUUCUCAAACUUUAAAUGGGUGAGAUCUCCGGCUUGCUUGAACUGUGAAGCCGCGAGAUAUCGGAUCAGAGUGCCAAGUGGGCCACUUUUGGUAAGCAGAACUGGCGCUGUGGGAUGAACCAAACGCCGAGUUAAAGCGCCUAAAUCGACGCUUAUGGGAUACCAUGAAAGGCGUUGGUAACUUAAGACAGCAGGACGGUGGCCAUG